rnacentral:lncRNA from 1 species
AAAUGUUCAAUCCCAGUUAUGGAUUUCAGGCCUCUGGCCUUCAGCAUACUGGUGUGGACAGGCUCUGGUGGACAUUCCAUUAUACUUCUUGAUUCUCUUUUCAAUACAUUUAAUUUACUACUUCAUAUUUCUGGGAUUCCAGCUUUCAUGGGAACUCAUGUUUGUUUUGAUCUUAAUAUGUGUAUCCACAAUUAUGGUAUCAACUCAAUAUGAAAAACUCAACUUAAUUUUGUGCAUGAUUUUCAUACCUUCCUUCACUUUGCUGGGGUAUGUCAUGUUAUUGAUCCAGCUCGACUUUAUGAGAAACUUGGACAGUCUGGACAAUAGAAUAAAUGAAGUCAAUAAAACCAUUCUUUUAACAACCUUAAUACCAUACCUUCAGAGUGUUAUUUUCCUUUUUGUCAUAAGGUGUCUGGAAAUGAAGUAUGGAAAUGAAAUAAUGAAUAAAGACCCAGUUUUCA